rnacentral:tRNA from 1 species
CUCCGGGUAGCUCAACGGAUCGAGCACCACCGUGUCUAGAUGGAGGUAUGCGAGUUCGAGUCUCGCCCCGGAGC